AUUGAACGCUGGCGGCAUGCCUUACACAUGCAAGUCGAACGGUAACAGGUCUUCGGAUGCUGACGAGUGGCGAACGGGUGAAUAAUACAUCGGAACGUGCCUAGUAGUGGGGGAUAACUACUCGAAAGAGUGGCUAAUACCGCAUGGGAUCUACGGAUGAAAGCAGGGGAUCGCAAGACCUUGUGCUACUAGAGCGGCCGAUGGCAGAUUAGGUAGUUGGUGGGAUAAAAGCUUACCAAGCCGACGAUCUGUAGCUGGUCUGAGAGGACGAUCAGCCACACUGGGACUGAGACACGGCCCAGACUCCUACGGGAGGCAGCAGUGGGGAAUUUUGGACAAUGGGCGAAAGCCUGAUCCAGCAAUGCCGCGUGCAGGAUGAAGGCCUUCGGGUUGUAAACUGCUUUUGUACGGAACGAAAAGCUCUGGGUUAAUACCCUGGGGUCAUGACGGUACCGUAAGAAUAAGCACCGGCUAACUACGUGCCAGCAGCCGCAGUAAAAC
rnacentral:rRNA from 1 species